rnacentral:rRNA from 1 species
AUUGAACGCUGGCGGCAGGCCUAACACAUGCAAGUCGAGCGGAUGAGUAAAGCUUGCUUUUCGAUUCAGCGGCGGACGGGUGAGUAAUGCCUAGGAAUCUGCCUGUUAGUGGGGGAUAACUCGGGGAAACUCGGGCUAAUACCGCAUACGUCAUACGGGAGAAAGUGGGGGAUCUUCGGACCUCACGCUAACAGUUGAGCCUGGGUCGGAUUAGCUAGUUGGUGAGGUAAUGGCUCACCUAGGCGACGAUCCGUAACUGGUCUGAGAGGAUGAUCAGUCACACUGGAACUGAGACACGGUCCAAACUCCUACGGGAGGCAGCAGUGGGGAAUAUUGGACAAUGGGCGAAAGCCUGAUCCAGCCAUGCCGCGUGUGUGAAGAAGGUCUUCGGAUUGUAAAGCACUGUAAGUUGGGAGGAAGAGUAUUCAGCUAAUACGUGGGUACUUUGACGUUACCAACAGAAUAAGCACCGGCUAACUCUGUGCCAGCCGCCGCGGUAAAAC